UAAAAGUUAAAGUGCACAAAUUGAUUUUAGCUAAUGAGAGAAGCCCAAUUCAUUUUACCUUUUUAUAUAUUAAGUGCUUAUGGUGAGGUUUAUUCAAACAAGGCCCUCUUCUAUGUUGAAUGUUGUUGCAAUUGUAUCUGCAUCUAAGAUUGUAUGUUGUUGGCGCAGAAAGUAUCUGACCCUGAAGCAUUCAUUAAGUUGCAUAGUGCAUCUUUUGUAGCAUGGAUGACAAUUCCAUUGACUCUUCCGAGCAAUCUUGCUCUGUGCGUCAAUGCCAAUUUUACCUAUGUGAAGGUCGGUUAACUUUGUUUCGGUAAUAGCAUAUUUAGAACUUAAGAGGUUGUUCAAUUUACCUUUCAAGCCUUUUCUGGUUGCAUUGGAGCAUGAUUUUAUAUUAUUGCGGACUGAAAAUGAAAAUGCGUUUGGACUGAGUACUUGAUAAUGUGACAUCCAUUAUUAAUUUGUUUGGUGAACGCAAACAUAUUGUUUCCUUAUUUUCUUGUUACUUGAACACUUAAUUUUUUUUUAAGCUGGUGAAUUCAGGUUCCUAAUAAGUAUUCAGGCAAAGUUUAUAUUGUUGCUGAAUCUCUUCUAUCUGCAAUCCAUAACCCAAGGAGCAACCCAAAGAAGCUGUUGUUAAUAGUGCAAAAGACGUUCCUAGAAAUACAAAUGCAAAGAUCAAGGGAGCCUCAGGUGAAAAAAUGGAAAAUGGGUUGGAUUCUUUCGAAGUGCUGGAGAAAGUCUUAGGAGCAUCAUUAGUAUGAACCAUUAUUUGAUUUCUUCAAGGACCUUUCUGAUACGGCUUUUAGAGUUGUUGUCAACAAUUUUGUUACGGACGAUAGCAGUACUGGUGUUUUCCAUUGUGCCCCUGCUUUUGGCGAAGAUGAUUUCCGUGUUUGCAUUGAUAAUCAAAUUAUUAGCAAGGAUAAUCUAACUGUAGUUGUUGAUGAUGAUGGGUGUUUUACUGAAAAAUUACUGACUUCAGUGGGUGCUACAUCAAACAUGCUGACAAAGAUAUCAUUGAAGCUAUGAAGGUAUGCUUCAUAUAUCUAAAAUUAUGAGAAGCUGUUAUUAAUUUGGAAUCAUUUAUGUUGCUGUUAAUUUGAAUGAUUAACUAAGGGGUUGUUUACUUUCACCGUUUUUUGUUUUCAUUUUCAAUAGAAAUAGAAAAUGAUGAUGAAAUCAUGCUUACUUAGGUGUUUUCAUUUUCAAUUUUAGAAAACAAACUCAUACCGGAAAGUCAUUUUUAGCAUUAAUGGAAACGAGAUGAUGGCAAUUUUGAAAA